CAGAUCGAUGAGGAUAAAUGGCAGCGUGUGAGUCAUCUAUGAGGAAUAAUACGUGUCUGGAACUCUGAGGUCCAA